UUUAACAAACUGAAAACUUUCAAGGAAAUUUGAAAGCUGGCUAAUUAAUCUUCUGUAAUGCUAUUAUGAGGAUUGCCCUUUGAGGUUGAUAGCGAUAGGCCGCCCUAUGAUUAGCCACAUGAUUUUGUUGAA
rnacentral:sRNA from 12 species